UUCGUGAAAGGGUAUUUGAGGAAGCCUUGAACAGACUGGUGGGUGAGGCCACUCCUCGGGACGCAGACACUGCCUUCGGCGAAGCUGUGGCGGCCAGCAUAAGGGACCUGGAUCAGUUAAGAAAGGACAUGGUCAAGGCUAAAGGAACGCUGCCUUCAUGCACGAAGUAAUCCUGCAGCUCAUCCCUGAACUGGCAGGCCUCCGUCGACGCAUGCAUGCCACGGUGCUGAAAUGGCUCCAGACACCCUCGGCCUGACGCAGUGUCCUGCAGUACUGGCGUGUUGCUGUCCUGCAUCACUUCAUGUGCUUUCAGGAAAUUGUGCACAGAACAGGAGGCCAGCACAAGCUUGGUUGCAUUCCCUGGUGUUGCUUGUAUGCGCUUCUGGAGUAUCCUGAAUUUCUGGGACAGCGUGCCGAAGUAGCACUCUACCAUCCUUCUUGCUGUAGAGUGCCUGUGUAAAGUAUGCCACAAUGACAAUUACUUCGCUAUUGUAUCCCUUUAUAUGUGUCUUAAGAUGUACCUAUAGUUGUACA